rnacentral:tRNA from 1 species
GAUAUGGCUCAGUGGUAGAGUGCUUGCCUCACAUGCAUGAGAUUGUGGGUUCAAUCCCUAACUAUC